UACGAAGGGGGCUAGCGUUGCUCGGAAUGACUGGGCGUAAAGGGCGCGUAGGCGGCUUGCAUAGUCAGAUGUGAAAUUCCUGGGCUUAACCUGGGGGCUGCAUUUGAUACGUGUGGGCUUGAGUGCGGAAGAGGGUCGUGGAAUUCCCAGUGUAGAGGUGAAAUUCGUAGAUAUUGGGAAGAACACCGGUGGCGAAGGCGGGUCUCUGGGCAACAACUGACGGCUGAGGAGCGAAAGCGUGGGGAGCGAACAGG
rnacentral:rRNA from 1 species